GACGAAGGGUGCAAGCGUUAUCCGGAUUCAUUGGGUUUAAAGGGUGCGUAGGCGGCCCGGUAAGUCAGUGGUGAAAUCUCCUUGCUUAACAAGGAAACUGCCAUUGAUACUGCUGGGCUUGAGUACAGAUGCUGUGGGCGGAAUAUGACAUGUAGUGGUGAAAUACUUAGAGAUGUCAUAGAACACCGAUUGCGAAGGCAGCUCACAAAACUGUAACUGACGCUGAGGCACGAAAGUGCGGGGAUCAAACAGG
rnacentral:rRNA from 1 species